rnacentral:rRNA from 1 species
GCAAGUCGAAUGCGAGCUUGCUCGCAUGGCAGACGGGAGAGUAACACAUUGGUAAUCUAACUUUAUCUCGAGAAUAAUUCGGAGAAAUCUGGAAUAAUACUCGAUGGUCAUGGGGGGACAUAAGUCAUUCCCAUGUAAAGCUUCGGCGGAUAAAGAGGAGCCUAUGGCCCAUCAGCUUGUUGGUAAGGUAAUGGCUUACCAAGGCUACGACGGGUAGCGGGUGUGAGAGCAUGACC